AACGAACGCUGGCGGUAGGCUUAACACAUGCGAGUCGAGCGCCCCGCAAGGGGAGCGGCAGACGGGUGAGUAACGCGUGGGAAUCUACCCAUCUCUACGGAAUAACGCAUGGAAACGUGUGCUAAUACCGUAUACGUCCUUCGGGAGAAAGAUUUAUCGGAGAUGGAUGAGCCCGCGUUGGAUUAGCUAGUUGGUGGGGUAAAGGCCUACCAAGGCGACGAUCCAUAGCUGGUCUGAGAGGAUGAUCAGCCACACUGGGACUGAGACACGGCCCAGACUCCUACGGGAGGCAGCAGUGGGGAAUAUUGGACAAUGGGCGCAAGCCUGAUCCAGCCAUGCCGCGUGAGUGAUGAAGGUCCUAGGGUUGUAAAGCUCUUUCACCGGUGAAGAUAAUGACGGUAACCGGAGAAGAAGCCCCGGCUAACUUCGUGCCAGCCGCCGCCGUAACAC
rnacentral:rRNA from 1 species